rnacentral:rRNA from 1 species
CAGCACCUCAAGUGGUCAGGAUGAUUAUUGGGCCUAAAGCAUCCGUAGCCGGCGCUGUAAGUUUUCGGUUUAAUCUGUACGCUCAACGUACAGGCUGCCGGGAAUACUGCAGCGCUAGGGAGUGGGAGAGGUAGACGGUACUCGGUAGGAAGGGGUAAAAUCCUUUGAUCUAUUGAUGACCACCUGUGGCGAAGGCGGUCUACCAGAACACGUCCGACGGUGAGGGAUGAAAGCUGGGGGAGCGAACCGGAUUAGAUACCCGAGUAGUCC